CCGCCAACGGCUCAUUAGAACAGCUAUAAUUUACUUGAUCUGAGUUCCUACUUGGGUAAGUGUGGUAAUUCUGGAGCUAAUACAUGCACCAAAGCUCCGACCUUACGGGGAGAGCGCAUUUAUUCGAACAAAACCAAGCGGCUUCGGCCGUCCGCAGUUGACUCAGAAUAACUAAGCUGAUCGCAUGGUCUUGAACCGGCGACGUGUCUUUCAAGUAUCUGCCUUAUCAACUUUCGAUGGUAGUGUAUCUGACUACCAUGGUGGUGACGGGUAACGGAGGAUAAGGGUUCGACUCCGGAGAAGGGGCCUGAGAAAUGGCCACUACGUCUAAGGAUGGCAGCAGGCGCGCAAAUUACCCACUCUCAGAAUGAGGAGGUAGUGACGAGAAAUAACGAGACCGUUCUCUACGAGGCCGGUCAUCGGAAUGGGUACAAUUUAAACCCUUUAACGAGUAUCUAUGAGAGGGCAAGUCUGGUGCCAGCAGCCGCGGUAAUUCCAGCU
rnacentral:rRNA from 1 species